rnacentral:rRNA from 1 species
UUCCAGUAAGCUAACUAUGUUACGACUUACCUCUUCUUUAGAAGAGGGUGACGGGCGAUAUGUACACCUAAAUUCAAUUUCGUUCUCAAUUUUUGUUAAAAAACUACUUCCAAAUCCUCUUUCAUUUCUUCUUUAGAGUAAGAUCCUUUAAUUAGUUUAAUAAGUAAUUAGCUUUGCCUUCACCAUAAUCUUCACCUUGACCUGACUUACGAGAGAAUAUUAGGGCAGAAGAUAGAAAUUCUACCUUUAGACGGCGGUAUAAAAGAUGGGGGAGAAGAGAAAAUAAGCGGGAAAAAUCGAGAAAAAACAAAUUCCUCUGGUAAGACAAAAGGCCGCCAAAAAGUAUGGGUUU